rnacentral:rRNA from 1 species
AGUGAACGCUGGCGGUAGGCCUAACACAUGCAAGUCGAACGGCAGCACAGUAAGAGCUUGCUCUUACGGGUGGCGAGUGGCGGACGGGUGAGGCAUGCAUCGGAAUCUUAUUUUUCGUGGGGGAUAACGUAGGGCCACAUACGCUACUACCGCAUACGACCUACGGGUGAAAGCAGGGGAUCUUCGGGCCUUGCGCGACUGAAUUAGCCGAUGUCGGAUUAGCUAGUUGGCGGGGUAAAGGCCCACCAAGGCGACGAUCCGUAGCUGGUCUGAGAGGAUGAUCAGCCACACUGGAACUGAGACACGGUCCAGACUCCUACGGGAGGCAGCAGUGGGGAAUAUUGGACAAUGGGCGCAAGCCUGAUCCAGCCAUACCGCGUGAGUGAAGAAGGCCUUCGGGUUGUAAAGCCCUGUUGUUGGGAAAGAAAAGCAGCAGGUUAAUACCCCGCUGUUCUGACGGUACCCAAAGAAUAAGCACCGGCUAACUUCGUG